rnacentral:rRNA from 1 species
GACGAACGCUGGCGGCGUGCUUAACACAUGCAAGUCGAACGGAAAGGCCCUGCUUUUGUGGGGUGCUCGAGUGGCGAACGGGUGAGUAACACGUGAGUAACCUGCCCUUGACUUUGGGAUAACUUCAGGAAACUGGGGCUAAUACCGGAUAGGAGCUCCUGCUGCAUGGUGGGGGUUGGAAAGUUUCGGCGGUUGGGGAUGGACUCGCGGCUUAUCAGCUUGUUGGUGGGGUAGUGGCUUACCAAGGCUUUGACGGGUAGCCGGCCUGAGAGGGUGACCGGCCACAUUGGGACUGAGAUACGGCCCAGACUCCUACGGGAGGCAACAGUGGGGAAUAUUGCACAAUGGGCGGAAGCCUGAUGCAGCAACGCCGCGUGCGGGAUGACGGCCUUCGGGUUGAAACCGCUUUCGCCUGUGACGAAGCGUGAGUGACGGUAAUGGGUAAAGAAGCACCGGCUAACUACGUG